AGUGAACGCUGGCGGUAGGCCUAACACAUGCAAGUCGAACGGCAGCACAGUAAGAGCUUGCUCUUACGGGUGGCGAGUGGCGGACGGGUGAGGAAUACAUCGGAAUCUACUUUUUCGUGGGGGAUAACGUAGGGAAACUUACGCUAAUACCGCAUACGACCUACGGGUGAAAGCAGGGGAUCUUCGGACCUUGCGCGAUUGAAUGAGCCGAUGUCGGAUUAGCUAGUUGGCGGGGUAAAGGCCCACCAAGGCGACGAUCCGUAGCUGGUCUGAGAGGAUGAUCAGCCACACUGGAACUGAGACACGGUCCAGACUCCUAUGGGAGGCAGCAGUGGGGAAUAUUGGACAAUGGGCGCAAGCCUGAUACAGCCAUACCGCGUGGGUGAAGAAGGCCUUAGGGUUGUAAAGCCCUUUUGUUGGGAAAGAAAAGCAGCAGGUUAAUACCCCGCUGUUCUGACGGUACCCAAAGAAUAAGCACCGGCUAACUUCGUG
rnacentral:rRNA from 1 species